rnacentral:rRNA from 1 species
AAACCAACAGGGAUUGCCUCAGUAACGGCGAGUGAAGCGGCAAGAGCUCAAAUUUGAAAUCUGGUAGUUUUUACUGCCCGAGUUGUAAUUUGAAGAGUCCAACCUUGGGUUGCAGCACUGUCUAUGUUUCUUGGAACAGGACGUCACAGAGGGUGAGAAUCCCGUGAGGUGGUGCGUUGCUUCUCUUGUAGGUUGUUCUCGACGAGUCGAGUUGUUUGGGAAUGCAGCUCUAAGUGGGUGGUAAAUUCCAUCUAAAGCUAAAUAUUGGCGAGAGACCGAUAGCGAACAAGUACAGUGAUGGAAAGAUGAAAAGAACUUUGAAAAGAGAGUGAAAAAGUACGUGAAAUUGUUGAAAGGGAAGGGCAUUAGAUUAGACUUGGCGCUUCAGGCACAUCCUCCUCUUGUAGGGGGUGCACUCCUGUUGUGCUGGGCCAGCAUCGAUUUGUGCGGUGGGAUAAAACCUUUGGGAUGUAGCUACACCUUGUGUAGUAUUAUAAACAAAGGGCAUGCCACCAGCGUAGAUCGAGGACUGCGUCUUUUGACUAGGAUGCUGGCGUAAUGAUCUAAUGCCGC